UGGGGAAUAUUGGACAAUGGGGGAAACCCUGAUCCAGCAACGCCGCGUGAGGGAAGAAGGCUUUCGGGUUGUAAACCUCUGUCGGAGGGGACGAACCGUAUUGCGGUGAAUAAUCGCAGUACCUGACGGUACCCUCAAAGGAAGCACCGGCUAACUCCGUGCCAGCAGCCGCGGUAAUACGGAGGGUGCUAGCGUUGUUCGGAAUUACUGGGCGUAAAGCGUGUCUCGGUGGACUUGUAAGUCAGAUGUGAAAUUUCCCGGCUUAACCGGAAAGGGUCGUUUGAUACUGCAAGUCUUGAGUUUCGGAGAGGUGGGCGGAAUUCCCAGUGUAGAAGUGAAAUUCGUAGAGAUUGGGAGGAACACCUGAGGCGAAAGCGGCUCACUAGCCGAACACUGACACUCAAGCACGAAAGCGUGGGGAGCAAACAGG
rnacentral:rRNA from 1 species